GCGUAAUACGUAGGGGCAAGCGUGUCCGGAAUUAUGGGCGUAAAGAGCGCGCAGGCGGUUUUGUAAGUCCACCGUGAAAGCUUACGGCUCAACCGUAACGGGUCGGUGGAUACUGCAAGACUUGAGGGCAGGAGAGGAAAGUGGAAUUUCCCAGUGUAGCGGUGAAAUGCGUAGAUAUUGGGAGGAACACCAGUGGCGAAGGCGACUUUCUGGACUGUUACUGACGCUGAGGCGCGAAAGCUGGGGAAGUGAACGGGAUUAGAUACCCCGGUAAUCCCAGCCGUAAACGAUGGGUACUAGGUGUAGGAGGUAUCGACCCCUUCUGUGCCGGAGUUAACGCAAUAAGUACCCCGCCUGGGGGGUACGGUCGCAAGACUGAAACUCAAAGGAAUUGACGGGGGCCCGCACAAGCGGUGGAGCAUGUGGUUUAAUUCGACGCAACGCGAAAAACCUUACCUACCCUUGACAUGCCAGGAACUUGCCAGAGAUGGCUUGGUGCCCGAAAGGGAACCUGGACACAGGUGCUGCAUGGCUGUCGUCAGCUCGUGUCGUGAGAUGUUGGGUUAAGUCCCGCAACGAGCGCAACCCUUGCCAUUAAUUGCCAUCAUUCAGUUGGGCACUUUAAUGGGACUGCCGGUGAUAAACCGGAGGAAGGUGGGGAUGACGUCAAGUCCUCAUGGCCCUUAUGGGUAGGGCUUCACACGUAAUACAAUGGUCGGUACAGAGGGUAGCCAACCCGCGAGGGGGAGCCAAUCUCAGAAAGCCGAUCGUAGUCCGGAUUGUUCUCUGCAACUCGAGAGCAUGAAGUCGGAAUCGCUAGUAAUCGCGGAUCAGCAUGUCGCGGUGAAUACGUUCCCGGGUCUUGUACACACCGCCCGUCACACCAUGGGAGCGGGUUCUGCCAGAAGU
rnacentral:rRNA from 1 species